GGGAAUAUUGGACAAUGGGCGCAAGCCUGAUCCAGCAACGCCGCGUGGAGGACGAAGGCCUUCGGGUCGUAAACUCCUGUCAGUUGGGACGAAGAGUCGUCGGUCAAUAGCCGGCGAUCAUGACGGUACCAGC
rnacentral:rRNA from 1 species